AAUUACCUUUAAAAAAAGGGAUAAAUAAUAGUUGGAGAAUUAUGUAACUUACAAUUUCAUCAUAGACCUUUAAGGUUUUUUAAUGGCCACCAUGAGAUUCACAUUCAUUCACUUUAUAUAUAACUUUUGAAAGAUGUGGGAGUUUCACUAGUAUAGUCCACAUAUUUUUGUGAUUGUGACAAAGCAUUUUUUCUAACAACAUUGAAAGUAUUACAAGUGAGUAGACACACAGGACUGGAGAAAACUGGAUAUUACACUGUAGGAUUGAUAAUAAAUUGAUCUUUGUGGCAGGUUGCAAUUUACCCGGUGUUUUCAUGGAUCAUUUAUUUUUCUCAGGAACACUUUGUGGGCAUUUUCCUCAUUUCCUUUAUACAUACGAGAAAAUGAAGCUGUGAGAGCCAUCAAACGUGGCAGGACCAGCUUUGAAACCUAAAUGAUAUUGUGUCUCUGCACUUACACUCCAUACGGUCAAGUAUUGGGCUCUGUUUUUUACGUUAGAAAAAUUAGUAUUUGGAGUUCAAAAUGCAUUUUAAGAAUACAGAAAAUAACAGAAAGAGGAAGAAUGUUAAAAAACAUUUUUUCUAAAUGCAGUAAAUAAAGCAUGCAUCAACAAAUGAAAUAUCUUCCCCCCUUUUAUAAAAAAUAUUUCAUUUCAUAGCAUGUUAGCAUACAAUUGUAUUUUUCCAUUUUUAGUAAUUAACAGAAAUGAACAUGACUUGAUAAAUUUAUUUUCAUGAAGUACCUGCGUCCUCAGAUUUUCCAAACAGACGUUGAAGAUCUCUCGCAAUUUUCUCUUUCCCAGUAAUUUUCUCCGACUACUUGCAGUGUAUUUGGGAUCAUGACACCUUUCCUUUCUAGGAGGGGAAGUGAUUUUGGCGGUUAUAUUUUCUCGUCUACCUGCAGAGACUAUUCAUCACAGCGAGUGAAGUGAUCUGCAGUGCUGGUACAAACAGAGUAGAGAAAGCAUAUAAUUUCCAGUUAUUCAUAGCCUGCGCAGCUAUGCUUCCUUAUUUAUAGCAAAGGUACACAUCUGAUUUAAAGGAUUCACGGUCAUCUGGAGGUCAAAUGCAGAUGGCAGGAUGUAGUCGGAGGAAAAGAGCCCAAAAAGAAGUGAGUUGUGGCACAGACAAUAAAUAAACCCAAGUCUCUCAACCUUGACACUGUUGACAUUUGGGGCUAGAUAAUUCAUUCUUGCGGAUGCUGUCCUGUGCAUGGAGGACGUUUAGCAGUAUCCCCACCCUCUACCCGCUGGCUGCCAGUAACGGCACCCCAACUGUGUGAACUGAAACUGUCUCCAGACUUUGCCAGAUUGCACCCUGAAGCAGGGACGGGCAAAGUCAGCCCCAGUUGAGAGCCCCUGAUCUAGACUAACGGUGAGCCCACAGCUGACGGAAAGAUACAACCAGACUGGUGCAAACAGUCACACUUUGCACGAACUCUGAGGGCAUGUUGCUGCGUUGCCGGUCAGAAGCCUCCGAUUCUCGGUUGACGUUUGUGAAAAUUGAAUCCGUUAGACCCGCAUCCCUGCUCUCCGUAUGUACAAGUUGGGGUAGAAGUCGCUGUUGCUGCCCUGACUGUAGUCUUAGUUAGAGGUCUCAGUUUUUCUACUCUGACGCGAGUGCUGCUAGGGAGGCAGAGAACAGGCCAGCGAACCCCUGCCCCACCCCCUCCUCCUCUGUGUGUUUCAUCUUCGUUUCACAGAAUCCCAGCAUAUGCUAGAGAACAGCCAUCUGUCAUGAUGCCGCACAGCCUUGCCACACAGAUGACUUGGCAUCUAGGAUGCUCUUCGGGAUCGUGGUUAUGGCCUUAGGGUCUGUGCAAAGGCUGGAUCUGGCCUCAUGCAGGAUCCAGAAAGGAAAAACAUUAUUUUUGUCCUCACAUCAAAAUGGCCAAGAUACCAUAGAAUAGAUUAAUACACUGCCAGAGUGUAUAAAAAUAACAAGGACAAGGGUGCCUGGGUGGCUCCCUCUGCUGAGCAUCUGACUCUUGGUUUUAGCGCAGGUCAUGAUCUCACGGUUCAUGAGUUUGAGCCCCGCUUCAAGCUCUGCACUGACAGUGCAGAGCCCGUUUGGGAUUCUGUCUCCCUCUCUCUCUGCCCCUUCCCUGCUCACACACGCAUGUUCUCCCUAAAUAAAUAAAUGGGAUUCUCUCUCCCUCUCUCUCUCUGCCCUUCCCUGCUCACACACGCAUGUUCUCCCUAAAUAAAUAAAUGGGAUUCUCUCUCCCUCUCUCUCUCUGCCCUUCCCUGCUCACACACGCAUGUUCUCCCUAAAUAAAUAAAUGGGAUUCUCUCUCCCUCUCUCUCUCUGCCCCUUCCCUGCUCACACACGCAUGUUCUCCCUAAAUAAAUAAAUGGGAUUCUCUCUCCCUCUCUCUCUCUGCCCCUUCCCUGCUCACACACGCAUGUUCUCCCUAAAUAAAUAAAUGGGGUUCUCUCUCCCUCUCUCUCUCUGCCCCUUCCCUGCUCACACACGCAUGUUCUCCCUAAAUAAA